UACAGAGGUCUCAAGCGUUGUUCGGAUUUAUUGGGCGUAAAGAGCUCGUAGGCGGCUCAGUAAGUCAGGUGUGAAACCUCCAGGCUCAACCUGGAGACGCCACCUGAUACUGCUGUGGCUAGAGUCCGGUAGGGGAGCGUGGAAUUCCUGGUGUAGCGGUGAAAUGCGCAGAUAUCAGGAGGAACACCAGCGGCGAAGGCGGCGCUCUGGGCCGGAACUGACGCUGAGGAGCGAAAGCGUGGGUAGCAAACAGG
rnacentral:rRNA from 1 species